rnacentral:rRNA from 1 species
CCUACGGGUGGCAGCAGUGAGGAAUAUUGGUCAAUGGCCGCAAGUCUGAACCAGCCAAGCCGCGUGAAGGACGACGGUGCCAAGCAUUGUAAACUGCUUUUGUCAAAGGACAAAAUCAGGCUCGAGAGCCUGGCCGAGGGUACUUUAAGAAAAAGCAUCGGCUAACUCCGUGCCAGCAGCCGCGGUAAUACGGAGGAUUCGAGCGUUAUCCGGAUUUAUUGGGUUUAAAGGGUGCGUAGGCGGUACGUUAAGUUAGCGGUAAAAUCCCGGGGCUCAACCCCGGCGCGGCCUCUGAUACUGGCUGGCUUGAGAUGUGGAGCGGUAGGCGGAAUGUGCAGUGUAGCGGUGAAAUGCUUAGAGA